AUUUCUUAAAUYGAAUAUAUAAUAUACGCUUAGAAAUUAUAUGUACUAUAAUAAUUAUUAUCAGUAACAGAUUUUUAAUUAUUAUUAAUUAACUGAUCUAAUUUAUAUAAACGUGAUUAGUUAAAUUUGUGAACCCAACGAAUUCAAUUUAGUAACAUCUCAAAAGUCAUAGCAAGGUAGCUUGUACUGGAAA
rnacentral:rRNA from 1 species